CUCAGUACCAUCCCCUCUCAUCCUGAGAAAAGUCUGGUGAAAAAGUUUCCAUAGUUGGCCUUCUCCAUGCAUUCUACAUGAACAUAUCUUCCCAGCUUGUCCACCUGCCUUGGGUCACCGCUAGUAUCUUUCUUACAGACCUUGCACGUUUUGUCGACCCAGCCUUCUUCAACAUAUUGCCCGUCCACUGAUUUCAUGAUAUAAUAAAAUUAGUGAUUUAGUGUAAUUUAUCAUACGAGGUGUUUGGAGUUGUGAUUUAAGAUACAAGAGCCGUUUUCAUUUAAGAUGCAAGAAGAUGAAAGGAUAUUAUAUAUAUAUAUAUAUAUAGCACACACAGCAACAUAGCUAUAAUUUAACAUAGUUAUCUGCAGAAAAAAGAAAGAAGUCCCCAUUGCUGAUAAUCUGUCCGAUUUAAUUAUAAAUUGGUCUUUAAUCUUGAGUGGCAGGUACUUCAUGCAUUAGUUCUGAUGAUGAAAAUGGGAAUUGUUGGCGUGCAGGUAAGAAAUUGAAGCGUGGAAGAAAGUGAACCAAGAAGUGAUGCAAAACCGUGACCUUCUUGCAUUCUUUUACUCAGUUUGGUUCAAUUCUCCUUGAAGAAAUUUGAUGAUAAAAUCUGAACAAAAAAAUGAAGUCCAAAAUGAAAAGAAACAUACCAUCAACGUAGGAUUUAAAGAAAUCCUUGUAUGUCCCUCCGAUUUUUCUUCUAAGAGCACCAUACUGCAGAUAAUUAGAAACCAGUCACCAUACACUACACAACAUAGACUAUUCAUUAAAUCCAAACUAUCUAUGAUGAACCAAUACUAAAUCUCUUGUAUCAACUAGAAGCUGCGUAUCGUGCAACGCAUUUUGAGUGAGAAAUGUUAGAAUACCUGCUCCCUUGUCAUUCUGCCACCAGAACUGGUGUUUUCUCUAGCCUCCUCUAGAAGUUCGGCAUCCUUGGCAGACCGAACUUGAGAGAAAUCUAGAGCUUCAGCUACACUGCUAAACAAAGAUUGCUUGCUCUUCUUGGGCUCUUCCUCGUUACCACUCUCUGUUUUAGCUGAGAUUUUGAAGUUGAAGCUCUUGUUAGGCCUAUAGUUAGACAAGUUCUGAGCUAUACCAACAUGUGGAGGGAAACAGUUUCGUGAAGGUGACAAGGGAAGAGUUCUUAGUCCCAUUUUUCUUUUCUGAAUUGUAUCCCAUUCCACUGCUAUGAAGGUUGCUUUUAUAUCCUAGUGUCGCUUUGUUUGGUCUGCUAAGCAGAGCCACUUAUUUACAGCAAAGUGCAAAUUGCGCAUAGAAUGGCUGCCACUCAAAAGACUUGGUGGUCAGAGUAAAACUACGUGGCCCUUUGCCAAACGAACAAAAAUGA
rnacentral:lncRNA from 1 species